rnacentral:rRNA from 1 species
AUCAAUGGCCAUUCUACCCCACAUGCGCCCGAUCUCCUCUGAUCUCAGAAGGUAAGCAGGAUUGGGCCUGGUUGUACUUGGAUAGGACACAACAUGUUUCUGUAUGUA